AAGUCGUAACAAGGUUUCCGUAGGUGAACCUGCGGAAGGAUCAUUACUGAGUUACGGGUCUCCUUGUGAGCCCGAACCUCCAACCCUUUGUUAAAAACACUUUGUUGCUUUGGCAGGCCCGUCCAAUCCCUUCACCGGGAGACGACCGCCGGGGGCGUUUAGUCACCUCUGGUCAGUGCUUGCCGAUAGCCUAUUCAAAAUUCUUUAUUAAAUAAUGUCUGAAAAAUUAUAAUUAAAUAUAAUUAAAACUUUCAACAACGGAUCUCUUGGUUCUG
rnacentral:misc_RNA from 1 species